UACGAAGGGGGCUAGCGUUGUUCGGAAUUACUGGGCGUAAAGCGUGCGCAGGCGGCUUUCCAAGUCAGUGGUGAAAGCCCGGAGCUCAACUCCGGAAAUGCCAUUGAAACGGUGAAGCUUGAGAACGAGAGAGGUGAGUGGAAUUCCCAGUGUAGAGGUGAAAUUCGUAGAUAUUGGGAAGAACACCAGUGGCGAAGGCGGCUCACUGGCUCGUAACUGACGCUCAUGCACGACAGCGUGGGGAUCAAACAGG
rnacentral:rRNA from 1 species